CCUACGGGUGGCUGCAGUGGGGAAUAUUGGACAAUGGGCGAAAGCCUGAUCCAGCCAUGCCGCGUGUGUGAAGAAGGCCUUCGGGUUGUAAAGCACUUUCAGUGGGGAAGAAAGCCUUGGGGCUAAUACCCUCGAGGAAGGACAUCACCCACAGAAGAAGCACCGGCUAACUCCGUGCCAGCAGCCGCGGUAAUACGGAGGGUGCGAGCGUUAAUCGGAAUUACUGGGCGUAAAGCGCGCGUAGGCGGUCUGAUAAGCCGGUUGUGAAAGCCCCGGGCUCAACCUGGGAACGGCAUCCGGAACUGUCAGGCUAGAGUGCAGGAGAGGAAGGUAGAAUUCCCGGUGUAGCGGUGAAAUGCGUAGAGAUCGGGAGGAAUACCAGUGGCGAAGGCGGCCUUCUGGACUGACACUGACGCUGAGGUGCGAAAGCGUGGGUAGCAAACAGGAUUAGAUACCCGUGUAGCC
rnacentral:rRNA from 1 species